UACAGAGGGUGCGAGCGUUAAUCGGAAUUACUGGGCGUAAAGCGUGCGUAGACGGUUAUCUAAGUCGGGUGUGAAAGCCCCGGGCUCAACCUGGGAAUUGCAUUCGAGACUGAAUAGCUAGGGUGCGGUAGAGGGAAGCGGAAUUUCCGGUGUAGCGGUGAAAUGCGUAGAUAUCUGAAGGAACAUCAGUGGCGAAAGCGACUUCCUGGACCAAUACUGACGCUCAUGUGCGAAAGCGUGGGGAGCAAACAGG
rnacentral:rRNA from 1 species